rnacentral:rRNA from 1 species
UUAAGUUAUUAAGGGCGCACGGUGGAUGCCUUGGCACUAGAAGCCGAUGAAGGACGUUACUAACGACGAUAUGCUUUGGGGAGCUGUAAGUAAGCUUUGAUCCAGAGAUUUCCGAAUGGGGAAACCCAGCAUGAGUUAUGUCAUGUUAUCGAUAUGUGAAUACAUAGCAUAUCAGAAGGCACACCCGGAGAACUGAAACAUCUUAGUACCCGGAGGAAGAGAAAGAAAAUUCGAUUCCCUUAGUAGCGGCGAGCGAAACGGGAAGAGCCCAAACCAACAAGCUUGCUUGUUGGGGUUGUAGGACACUCUAUACGGAGUUACAAAGGACGACAUUAGACGAAUCAUCUGGAAAGAUGAAUCAAAGAAGGUAAUAAUCCUGUAGUCGAAAAUGUUGUCUCUCUUGAGUGGAUCCUGAGUACGACGGAGCACGUGAAAUUCCGUCGGAAUCUGGGAGGACCAUCUCCUAAGGCUAAAUACUCUCUAGUGACCGAUAGUGAACCAGUACCGUGAGGGAAAGGUGAAAAGCACCCCGGAAGGGGAGUGAAAUAGAACCUGAAACCGUGUGCUUACAAGUAGUCAGAGCCCGUUAAUGGGUGAUGGCGUGCCUUUUGUAGAAUGAACCGGCGAGUUACGAUUUGAUGCAAGGUUAAGCAGUAAAUGUGGAGCCGUAGCGAAAGCGAGUCUGAAUAGGGCGUUUAGUAUUUGGUCGUAGACCCGAAACCAGGUGAUCUACCCUUGGUCAGGUUGAAGUUCAGGUAACACUGAAUGGAGGACCGAACCGACUUACGUUGAAAAGUGAGCGGAUGAACUGAGGGUAGCGGAGAAAUUCCAAUCGAACCUGGAGAUAGCUGGUUCUCUCCGAAAUAGCUUUAGGGCUAGCCUCAAGUGAUGAUUAUUGGAGGUAGAGCACUGUUUGGACGAGGGGCCCCUCUCGGGUUACCGAAUUCAGACAAACUCCGAAUGCCAAUUAAUUUAACUUGGGAGUCAGAACAUGGGUGAUAAGGUCCGUGUUCGAAAGGGAAACAGCCCAGACCACCAGCUAAGGUCCCAAAAUAUAUGUUAAGUGGAAAAGGAUGUGGCGUUGCCCAGACAACUAGGAUGUUGGCUUAGAAGCAGCCAUCAUUUAAAGAGUGCGUAAUAGCUCACUAGUCGAGUGACACUGCGCCGAAAAUGUACCGGGGCUAAACAUAUUACCGAAGCUGUGGAUUGUCCUUUGGACAAUGGUAGGAGAGCGUUCUAAGGGCGUUGAAGCAUGAUCGUAAGGACAUGUGGAGCGCUUAGAAGUGAGAAUGCCGGUGUGAGUAGCGAAAGACGGGUGAGAAUCCCGUCCACCGAUUGACUAAGGUUUCCAGAGGAAGGCUCGUCCGCUCUGGGUUAGUCGGGUCCUAAGCUGAGGCCGACAGGCGUAGGCGAUGGAUAACAGGUUGAUAUUCCUGUACCACCUAUAAUCGUUUUAAUCGAUGGGGGGACGCAGUAGGAUAGGCGAAGCGUGCGAUUGGAUUGCACGUCUAAGCAGUAAGGCUGAGUAUUAGGCAAAUCCGGUACUCGUUAAGGCUGAGCUGUGAUGGGGAGAAGACAUUGUGUCUUCGAGUCGUUGAUUUCACACUGCCGAGAAAAGCCUCUAGAUAGAAAAUAGGUGCCCGUACCGCAAACCGACACAGGUAGUCAAGAUGAGAAUUCUAAGGUGAGCGAGCGAACUCUCGUUAAGGAACUCGGCAAAAUGACCCCGUAACUUCGGGAGAAGGGGUGCUCUUUAGGGUUAACGCCCAGAAGAGCCGCAGUGAAUAGGCCCAAGCGACUGUUUAUCAAAAACACAGGUCUCUGCUAAACCGUAAGGUGAUGUAUAGGGGCUGACGCCUGCCCGGUGCUGGAAGGUUAAGAGGAGUGGUUAGCUUCUGCGAAGCUACGAAUCGAAGCCCCAGUAAACGGCGGCCGUAACUAUAACGGUCCUAAGGUAGCGAAAUUCCUUGUCGGGUAAGUUCCGACCCGCACGAAAGGCGUAACGAUUUGGGCACUGUCUCAACGAGAGACUCGGUGAAAUCAUAGUACCUGUGAAGAUGCAGGUUACCCGCGACAGGACGGAAAGACCCCGUGGAGCUUUACUGUAGCCUGAUAUUGAAAUUCGGCACAGCUUGUACAGGAUAGGUAGGAGCCUUUGAAACGUGAGCGCUAGCUUACGUGGAGGCGCUGGUGGGAUACUACCCUAGCUGUGUUGGCUUUCUAACCCGCACCACUUAUCGUGGUGGGAGACAGUGUCAGGCGGGCAGUUUGACUGGGGCGGUCGCCUCCUAAAAGGUAACGGAGGCGCUCAAAGGUUCCCUCAGAAUGGUUGGAAAUCAUUCAUAGAGUGUAAAGGCAUAAGGGAGCUUGACUGCGAGACCUACAAGUCGAGCAGGGUCGAAAGACGGACUUAGUGAUCCGGUGGUUCCGCAUGGAAGGGCCAUCGCUCAACGGAUAAAAGCUACCCCGGGGAUAACAGGCUUAUCUCCCCCAAGAGUUCACAUCGACGGGGAGGUUUGGCACCUCGAUGUCGGCUCAUCGCAUCCUGGGGCUGUAGUCGGUCCCAAGGGUUGGGCUGUUCGCCCAUUAAAGCGGUACGCGAGCUGGGUUCAGAACGUCGUGAGACAGUUCGGUCCCUAUCCGUCGUGGGCGUAGGAAAUUUGAGAGGAGCUGUCCUUAGUACGAGAGGACCGGGAUGGACAUACCUCUGGUGUACCAGUUGUCGUGCCAACGGUAUAGCUGGGUAGCUAUGUGUGGACGGGAUAAGUGCUGAAAGCAUCUAAGCAUGAAGCCCCCCUCAAGAUGAGAUUUCCCAACUUCGGUUAUAAGA